rnacentral:rRNA from 1 species
AGAGUUUGAUCAUGGCUCAGAACGUACGCUGGCGGCACGCCUAACACAUGCAAGUCGAACGCAGUAGCAAUACUGAGUGGCAGACGGGUGAGUAACACGUGGGAAUCUGCCUUGUGGUUCAGGACAACAUUGGGAAACCGAUGCUAAUACUGGAUAAGCCCUUACGGGGAAAGUUUUAAUGCCAUAAGAUGAGCCCGCAUUUGAUUAGUUAGUUGGUGAGGUAAUGGCUCACCAAGACAAUGAUCAAUAGCUGAUCUGAGAGGAUGAUCAGCCACACUGGGACUGAGACACGGCCCAGACUCCUACGGGAGGCAGCAGUGGGGAAUCUUGCACAAUGGAGGAAACUCUGAUGCAGCGAUGCCGCGUGAGUGAAGAAGGCCUUUGGGUUGUAAAGCUCUUUUGUAGGGGAAGAUAAUGACUGUACCCUAAGAAUAAGGUCCGGCUAACUUCGUGCCAGCAGCCGCGGUAAUACGAAGGGACCUAGCGUAGUUCGGAAUUACUGGGCGUAAAGCGCGCGUAGGCCGUUGAGUUAGUUAAUUGUGAAAUCCCAAAGCUUAACUUUGGAACUGCAAUUAAAACUGCUCGACUAGAGUUUGAUAGAGGAAAGCGGAAUACAUAGUGUAGAGGUGAAAUUCGUAGAUAUUAUGUAGAACACCAGUUGCGAAGGCGGCUUUCUGGAUCAACACUGACGCUGAGGCGCGAAAGUAUGGGUAGCAAAGAGGAUUAGAUACCCUCGUAGUCCAUACCAUAAACGAUGAUUGCUAGAUGUUGGAAAUUUAUUUUCAGUAUCGCAGCUAACGCAUUAAGCAAUCCGCCUGGGGAGUACGACCGCAA